AGUGUAUGUGUGUGUGUGUGUGUGUAUAAAGUGUUAUGGGAGUGCAUGUGUGUGUAUACAGUGUUAUGGGAGUGUAUGUGUGUGUGUGUAUAAAGUGUUAUGGGAGUGCAUGUGUGUGUAUACAGUGUUAUGGGAGUACAUGUGUGUGUAUACAGUGUUAUGGGAGUGCAUGUGUGUAUAUACAGUGUUAUGGGAGUGUAUGUGUGUAUAAACAGUGUUAUGGGAGUGUAUGUGUGUAUAUACAGUGUUAUGGGAGUGUAUGUGUGUAUAUACAGUGUUAUGGGAGUGUAUGUGUGUAUAAAGUGUUAUGAGAGUGCAUGUGUGUGUAUAAUGGUAUGUUCAUACGGCAGAAUUUCCACUGGAAAUUCCACUAUCAUUUUCUGCCCAUUGACUUUAAUGGGAUUCUGCUGUCCCAUUCAGACAGCAGAAUUUCUGCGGAAAUUCUGCAUACCACAAAAAUAUAAGAUUAGUCUUAUUUUGCAGAAUUCCACAGCGGAAUUCCAUUAAAGUCAGUGGAGCUUGAAUUUUGGCAAAAUUCUGUGUUCUGAGAACACAGAAAUUCUGCCAAAAUUAUGCCCAAAUUCCACCAGAAGCUUUGCUGAAUAGAAUUUCUGCGGAAUUGCAGAAAUUCUGCAGUGUGAACAUACCCUAAGGCUCCCUUUAGAUAUAAAGCAUAUUUCAAAAGUAUUUAGUCUUCAGAUGGCAUGGUGUGUCGUAGUACUUUAUUCAGAGUGCACUGGGAAGCAGUAUUUUAAUCAGAUGGUACAGUGUAGCAGUAUUUUAUUCAGGGGUACAGUGUGUGCCAGUAUUCAGGGGGGCAGUGGGUGGCAGUAUUAUAUUCAGGGAGCACAGUGUAUGACAGUAUUACAUUCAGGGAGCACAUUUUUCUGGUAGGGUUACAUUCAUGGGGUACAGUGUGUGUCAGUAUUACAUUCAUGGGGUACAGUGUGUGUCAGUAUUAUAUUCAGGGGGUACAGUGGGUGGCAGUAUUAUAUUCAGGGGGUACAGUGGGUGGCAGUAUUAUAUUCAGAGGAUACUGUGUGUGGCAGUAUUUUUUUCAGAGGGAACAGUGUAUGGCAGUAUUAUAAUCAGCGGCUAGGGUAUUUAGCAGGGUGAUAAUGAUUAUUGUCUUCAUACAGAGAAUAGGUAUCUGCUAACAAAGUGAGGAACCAAUGUGCGGACGUCACACUUUACAUAGAAGAUGGAAGAAGACAUGGCAUCUGGACCACAUGGAAAAGAAAAGGAGAGACAACAGAGAAGACGUCACUCAGGGUCCUGGAUCCAUGUGUGAAGACUUUUUGGGAGGUUAGAGUGUGAUUCAGGAAAUUUUAACAGACAUCCAACACAAGCACAAGCGCACAGCCUAUAGGAGUUGUCACAGUUCCGACUGCGCACAGCAAUGCACAUGUGCCCACUUUACAUCUGAAGAAUCCUCCGCUGACACUGGACACUAUCCCUGGACUUAUA